UCGUAAAGUUCUUAAAUAAUUCGCGCAUCUUUAAGGUUUCUGGAAGGUAUUUUUUGUCAAAUUUAAGCUGCUAAUUGUUAAUAAUUUCUUAAUUAAAUAUUAAAAGUCGGGUUCUUAUUCGGGUUCUCCUUUGAUAAAACGGUUAUACGAUCCUUGAUUAUAUCUCAUUCGGUCUUAACAUUAUCAAAGUGUUUAUAAAAUUCUGAAAUGGUUUCCAUCGUCGUGUUUUAUCUUCUUAAAGUUUAUUAAUGUUGAUUAAAUUAUAAAAAUUAAUCACAAAAGAUUCUCUCCAUUACGUGGGGUCGCGUCUCUUCAUUCUGGUAUCACGGCCUGACGGUUCUACGGAGAUCAAUAAAGAUGUUGUUGUUUUCAGACUGAGAAACGCGCUUAAAUUAGAAAGAUCUCUUUACGAGAUCAUUAAAUGAAAAUGUGCAGGAGGAAUUAGUUUGAGCACAAUGUCUGCAACUAUUUGUUUGAUUCUGAUUCAAUUCUGAUCACACUUCUAUCAAACUAUUUUUUUCAUUCCAGUGUUUUAUUUUUAAUUUAUUAAAACUAUGUUCUAUCUUUAAAAAAAAUCUAACCUAUUAUGUAUGUGUUCACAUAUAAAAAGCAAGGCAAAGUAUUACUGCAAGAGAUAUAUGAAGAGAUCAGACUAAUAAGAGAGAGAGAGAGAAAGCAGUAGAUAUAAAAGAAGCUUUUGAUUCGUUUAAUAUAUGGCACUGGAAAAAUUACUACUGUGAAACUUAAACUUGCUAUUAGUAAAAUUGCUAUUAGAAUUUUAGCAUUGAAUCAACAAAGGACAAACUAAAGAUAUUCAUGGCAGAAAAAUAAAUAUUUAUACAAGGCACACUCGAUGUGAAAAUGUCUAACAAAUUAAGUGAUGGAAAGCAUUAUUAAUAAUUUAUUGGAUAUAUUUUGUGAUUGUUCAUAUUUUAUUUAUAUACACAUAUGUCGAUGAAAAUACUUCAAUAAGUAUUCACAUUUUUUAACUUUUCUAAUAGCAAGAAAAUUGGAAAUAGAAAACAGUAGAUUAUGCAUAAAAUUGUCACCAGCUCUGAACGCGUGUCUAUCCUGGUCACUGUUUGAUCGAAGAGAGCAAAGGUAAAACCGAUAAAACCGAGAGGGAGAAAAUGUCUGACUGAAUGUCAGUAGUGGGUAGUAACUGAGAAACACAUUCCGCCCUCAGAUUUUCUUUCACCUGCAGACUCAAGCUCAAGAUUUAUCUGAAUAAUCGGUACAAAAUUCGUGAUCUACAAGAAUUAUUGAAUGGUCUUGAUAUCACGAAUUAAAAGAUGCCUCCAGCCUGUAUAACUAGAUUUUUUUACUUUAAUUUAACAAAAUAAUUAGAAAUAGCACUUUGAAUGCAAACUGUGGUCGCAAGUAGCGAUUUUUGCAAAAUUAAAUCUAAAAUUAUUUUCAAAUCUGCACAUGUAAAAAAUAUAAAACAGUAAUUUAUACA